rnacentral:lncRNA from 1 species
UGAGAGUGAAUGGUGAGGAACUCAAAAAUAUCACCGACAAUAUAGUGUAUAUCGCUCUUACCGAAAUACCAACACAUCAGAUAGCUAUUAGAUAUGAUGUGUUAAAUAAUAUUUAUAAAUACUUAAAAAACGAUCAGUACAACAUACUAAUUGAGUAAACCAAUUUUCUUUUCCAGUUGAGCUGUCAAUUUUUGUUUCCCCUUCGUCGAAGAUGGAGCGAUUCUUAGGUUGUUCAAGUGAUUCACAUUUUAAUUCGCCUAGGAAGUACAAAUUAAGGCAUUAGGUUAGCAUGUCCAAAAAACAUAACUUUUUAAAAUCAAAUUCAUAAGAAAUAUCGCUCUCAU